rnacentral:rRNA from 1 species
AAACCAGCACCUCAAGUGGUCAGGAUGAUUAUUGGGCCUAAAGCAUCCGUAGCCGGCUCUGUAAGUUUUCGGUUAAAUCUGUACGCUCAACGUACAGGCUGCUGGGAAUACUGCAGGGCUAGGGAGUGGGAGAGAUAGACGGUACUCGGGAGGAAGUGGUAAAAUGCUUUGAUCUCUCGAUGACCACCUGUGGCGAAGGCGGUCUACCAGAACACGUCCGACGGUGAGGGAUGAAAGCUGGGGGAGCAAACCGGAUUAGAAACCCCGGUAGUCC